GUGCCAGCCGCCGCGGUAAAACGUAGGGGACAAGCGUUAUCCGGAUUUACUGGGCGUAAAGCGCCCGUAGGCGGCUUAACAAGUUGGAUGUGAAAGCUCCCGGCUUAACUGGGAGAGGUCAUUCAAAACUGUUAGGCUAGAGGAUGGAAGAGGAGAGCGGAAUUCCCGGUGUAGUGGUGGAAUGCGUAGAGAUCGGGAGGAACACCAGUGGCGAAAGCGGCUCUCUGGUUCACACCUGACGCUGAGGGGCGAAAGCGUGGGGAGCGAACGGGAUUAGAAACCCCCGUAGUCC
rnacentral:rRNA from 1 species